AACGAACGCUGGCGGCAGGCCUAACACAUGCAAGUCGAGCGAACCCUUCGGGGUUAGCGGCGGACGGGUUAGUAACGCGUGGGAAUAUACCCUUUGGUACGGAAUAGCUUCGGGAAACUGAGAGUAAUACCGUAUGUGCCCUUCGGGGGAAAGAUUUAUCGCCAAAGGAUUAGCCCGCGUUGGAUUAGGUAGUUGGUGGGGUAAUGGCCUACCAAGCCUACGAUCCAUAGCUGGUUUGAGAGGAUGAUCAGCAACACUGGGACUGAGACACGGCCCAGACUCCUACGGGAGGCAGCAGUGGGGAAUUUUGGACAAUGGGGGAAACCCUGAUCCAGCCAUGCCGCGUGAGUGAAGAAGGCCUGGUUGUAAGUACUCUUUCGGUCCGGGACGGAAAUACGCACGCGUGAAUAUCGUGUGUGGAUGACGGUACCGGCAGAAGAAGGACCGGCUAACUACGUGCCAGCAGCCGCGGUAAAGUC
rnacentral:rRNA from 1 species